GACCGUGUGUGGGAGGGUUUAUUUCAUCAGGAGGGGCUUCUUGUUGAGGUCUGCGGAUGGCCCUACCAGACCGUGUGUGGGAGGGUUUAUUUCAUCAGGAGGGGCUUCUUGUUGAGGUCUGCGGAUGGCCCUACCAGACCGUGUGUGGGAGGUUUAUUUCAUCAGGGAGGGGCUUCUUGUUGAGGUCUGCGGAUGGCCCUACCAGACCGUGUGUGGGAGGGUUUAUUUCAUCAGGAGGGGCUUCUUGUUGAGGUCUGCGGAUGGCCCUACCAGACCGUGUGUGGGAGGGUUUAUUUCAUCAGGAGGGGCUUCUUGUUGAGGUCUGCGGAUGGCCCUACCAGACCGUGUGUGGGAGGGUUUAUUUCAUCAGGAGGGGCUUCUUGUUGAGGUCUGCGGAUGGCCCUACCAGACCGUGUGUGG